GGAUAACAUACCGAAAGGUAUGCUAAUACGGGAUAAUAUAUUUGAGAGGCAUCUCUUAAAUAUCAAAGGUGAGCCAGUACAGGAUGGACCCGCGUCUGAUUAGCUAGUUGGUAAGGUAACGGCUUACCAAGGCGACGAUCAGUAGCCGACCUGAGAGGGUGAUCGGCCACAUUGGAACUGAGACACGGUCCAAACUCCUACGGGAGGCAGCAGUGGGGAAUAUUGCACAAUGGGCGAAAGCCUGAUGCAGCAACGCCGCGUGAGUGAUGAAGGCCUUCGGGUCGUAAAACUCUGUCCUCAAGGAAGAUAAUGACGGUACUUGAGGAGGAAGCCCCGGCUAACUACGUGCCAGCAGCCGCGGUAAUACGUAGGGGGCUAGCGUUAUCCGGAUUUACUGGGCGUAAAGGGUGCGUAGGCGGUCUUUCAAGUCAGGAGUGAAAGGCUACGGCUCAACCGUAGUAAGCUCUUGAAACUGGGAGACUUGAGUGCAGGAGAGGAGAGUGGAAUUCCUAGUGUAGCGGUGAAAUGCGUAGAUAUUAGGAGGAACACCAGUUGCGAAGGCGGCUCUCUGGACUGUAACUGACGCUGAGGCACGAAAGCGUGGGGAGCAAACAGGAUUAGAUACCCUGGUAGUCCACGCUGUAAACGAUGAAUAGUAGGUGUCGGGGGUUACCCCCUUCGGUGCCGCA
rnacentral:rRNA from 1 species